rnacentral:lncRNA from 1 species
GUCGUAAGUUACAAGUAUUAUAAGUUACAACUUAUUACUUCACAAUUUAUUUAUUGGUCAUAAAUCACAACUUAUUAGAUAGUCACAAACUAUCAAAAUACUGUUACAAAUUAAUAAUUUUUUAAGUCAUAUAUUAUUUUUUUGUUACAAUUUUAACCCCGAUAACUAAUGACCAUGUCCCAAUUCGAGGCCACAGCGACAACCACCAUCACCACCACAACAACCAGGGAUUAAACGACGACCACCACAAUCAACUCACCACCAUCUCCUCACCAACCCCAUCGUCGCCGCCACCACCACCACCUCACCAUGAUCAAACAUCACUACCUCACCACAACCUCCUCACCAACACCAUCAUUUUGGAAAAAACAAUUGCUACCAAUCAGAUCUGUGCAAAACUAACCACUACUGACGACCAUGCUAAAAAAUCAGGUCAGAUAUGCGCAAAAACCUACCACUGUCAACGAUCUUUUGCAAAAAUUAGAUUAAAUCCGUUGUAAAUCCGUUGCAGCUUCGGUGAAGAGAAGCUCUAUUCCACACGACGCUCCCAAUUGUGGGUCAUCACCGCUAUAGCUCCGAUCGAUAGAUGAAGAGAAGCUCUGAUGGCGACAUUGUAGCUCCCAAUGCAGCUCAGAGAAGGAGACGAGAGAGAGAGGGGUGAGAGCGAGAUAUAGAGAGAGAGAGAGGGGGAAAUUGAUUAGAGUUUGU